CCUACGGGAGGCAGCAGUGAGGAAUAUUGGUCAAUGGGCGCGAGCCUGAACCAGCCAAGUCGCGUGAGGGAAGACGGCCCUAUGGAUUGUAAACCUCUUUUGUCGGGGAGCAAAAUGCGCCACGCGUGCCGUUCCGAGAGUACCCGAAGAAAAAGCAUCGGCUAACUCCGUGCCAGCAGCCGCGGUAAUACGGAGGGUGCAAGCGUUACUCGGAAUUACUGGGCGUAAAGAGCGCGUAGGCGGGAUGGUAAGUCAGCUGUGAAAUCCUAUGGCUUAACCAUAGAAGUGCAUUUGAAACUGUGAGUCUAGAGUGUGGGAGAGGUAGGUGGAAUUCGUGGUGUAGGGGUAAAAUGCGUAGAGAUCAAGAAGAAUACUCAUUGCGAAGGCGGCCUGCUAGAACAUAACUGACGCUGAUGCGCGAAGGCGUGGGGAGCAAACAGGAUUAGAUACCCCUGUAGUC
rnacentral:rRNA from 1 species